rnacentral:tRNA from 12 species
UUAGCUCAGUCGGUAGAGCGUGCGCCUUUCAAGCGUAAGGUCGCAGGAUCGAAACCGGGUGUGUCC